AGUGAACGCUGGCGGUAGGCCUAACACAUGCAAGUCGAACGGCAGCACAGUAAGAGCUUGCUCUUACGGGUGGCGAGUGGCGGACGGGUGAUGAAUACAUCGGAAUCUACUUUUUCGUGGGGGAUAACGUAGGGAAACUUACGCUAAUACCGCAUACGACCUACGGGUGAAAGCAUGGGAUCUUCGGGCCUUGCGCGAUUGAAUGAGCCGAUGUCGGAUUAGCUAGUUGGCGGGGUAAAGGCCCACCAAGGCGACGAUCCGUAGCUGGUCUGAGAGGAUGAUCAGCCACACUGGAACUGAGACACGGUCCAGACUCCUACGGGAGGCAGCAGUGGGGAAUAUUGGACAAUGGGCGAAAGCCUGAUCCAGCCAUACCGCGUGGGUGAAGAAGGCCUUCGGGUUGUAAAGCCCUUUUGUUGGGAAAGAAAAGCAGCAGGUUAAUACCCCGCUGUUCUGACGGUACCCAAAGAAUAAGCACCGGCUAACUUCGUG
rnacentral:rRNA from 1 species